rnacentral:rRNA from 1 species
UAGUCCACGCCGUAAACGAUGGAUACUAGCUGUUCGGAUGUAUUUCUGAUUGGCUAAGCGAAAGUGAUAAGUAUCCCACCUGGGGAGUACGUUCGCAAGGAUGAAACUCAAAGGAAUUGACGGGGGCCCGCACAAGCGGUGGAGCAUGUGGUUUAAUUCGAUGAUACGCGAGGAACCUUACCAGGGCUUAAAUGUAAGUUGCAUUAGCUAGAGAUAGUUAUUUCUUCGGACUACUUACAAGGUGCUGCAUGGUUGUCGUCAGCUCGUGCCGUGAGGUGUCAGGUUAAGUCCUAUAACGAGCGCAACCCCUGUCGUUAGUUGCCAGCAUGUAAAGAUGGGGACUCUAGCGAGACUGCCGGUGCAAACCGCGAGGAAGGUGGGGAUGACGUCAAAUCAUCACGGCCCUUACGUCCUGGGCUACACACGUGCUACAAUGGUAGGUACAAUGAGCAGCCACUGCGCGAGCAGGAGCGAAUCUAUAAAGCCUAU